GGAAAUGUAGCUCAGUGGUAGAGUGCUUGCCUAGCAUGCACGAUGCCCUGGGUUCAAUCCUCAGUCCCA
rfam:Ictidomys tridecemlineatus contig000282, whole genome shotgun sequence.